AUAAAACUCACACCAACACCAGCACCACCCCAGCGUCAUCCCAUUCCCAUUGCAAUUUCAGGAUUUUGGCACCUUUCGUUCUGAGUUCGUCGCGACUGUGAGAUACUCCUGCAGCCCUACUCGCAAGCGAGCAGGCAGAAUGGAGCGCCGCGCCGUGACCGUGAACCCGGUCCUCGUCGUCCUUGUGCUCCUUGUGCUGUCCUGCCUCCUCGUCUACCCCCCUUCGCCACCUCCCCCACACCACCCGUACUCCUCCGUUGCCAUGCCAAGUGAGUCUCAGUAGCUACCAGCAGGCAAUUCCUUUAUCGAUCAGUAGCUGAUUACUUUGUCUGUGCAUGUGUUCGUGCGAUUGCAGGAAGUCUGCGCGUGGGGAGCCAGCAGCAGCACCCUACGGCUCUGAAGCUCACUUCUUCUCAGGUACCGUACUAAUUUGCUGUUUUGCUCUAAUCUCCCUCGUACCCUGCCUUCUUGCCUAUUACAGAACUGUUGGCGAAAGUAGCCGCUGUAAUUCUGAUGAUGACUUUUGUGUUCCAAAACAGGAGAUGGCGACGGCGGCGAUAAACUUUGAGGUAGAUGACUACCCACCGCCUGACCAUAAGUCCAUAACCACCACCAUGGCCCGGGCCAAUGAAGAGCUUGAAUGAAGCUGGACCCAAUAAUCGUUCGUCUUUACCAGUGUAGUACUACAAAGUGCUUUGUUAGUGCUCCUGUAUCAUAGAAUAAUUAAAAAAUACUAAUGGUCCCUAACUCCCUAUAUUUGGGAGAGGUUGCCAGUCAGAUCUCAAUUUUUUUUAUUUCUCGG
rnacentral:lncRNA from 1 species